GACGAACGCUGGCGGCGUGCUUAACACGUGCAAGUCGAACGGAAAGGCCCUGCUUUUGUGGGGUGCUCGAGUGGCGAACGGGUGAGUAACACGUGAGUAACCUGCCCUUGACUUUGGGAUAACUUCAGGAAACUGGGGCUAAUACCGGAUAGGAGCUCCUGCUGCAUGGUGGGGGUUGGAAAGUUUCGGCGGUUGGGGAUGGACUCGCGGCUUAUCAGCUUGUUGGUGGGGUAGUGGCUUACCAAGGCUUUGACGGGUAGCCGGCCUGAGAGGGUGACGGGCCACAUUGGGACUGAGAUACGGCCCAGACUCCUACGGGAGGCAGCAGUGGGGAAUAUUGCACAAUGGGCGGAAGCCUGAUGCAGCAACGCCGCGUGCGGGAUGACGGCCUUCGGGUUGUAAACCGCUUUCGCCUGUGACGAAGCGUGAGUGACGGUAAUGGGUAAAGAAGCACCGGCUAACUACGUG
rnacentral:rRNA from 1 species